GCUGAAGGAGGAGCUUGCUUCUCUGGAUGAGUUGCGAACGGGUGAGUAACGCGUAGGUAACCUGCCUGGUAGCGGGGGAUAACUAUUGGAAACGAUAGCUAAUACCGCAUAAUAGUAGAUGUUGCAUGACAUUUGCUUAAAAGGUGCAAUUGCAUCACUACCAGAUGGACCUGCGUUGUAUUAGCUAGUUGGUGGGGUAACGGCUCACCAAGGCGACGAUACAUAGCCGACCUGAGAGGGUGAUCGGCCUCACUGGGACUGAGACACGGCCCAGACUCCUACGGGAGGCAGCAGUAGGGAAUCUUCGGCAAUGGGGGGAACCCUGACCGAGCAACGCCGCGUGAGUGAAGAAGGUUUUCGGAUCGUAAAGGUCUGUUGUAAGAGAAGAACGGGUGUGAGAGUGGAAAGUUCACACUGUGACGGUAUCUUACCAGAAAGGGACGGCUAACUACGUGCC
rnacentral:rRNA from 1 species